GGUGGAGGAGAGGAAAGGGAGGGAGACAGGCAGAUGGAGAGGGAUAAUGCUGUAGAUAAGUGUUCUGGCUAAAUGCACUCUCCAGUAAAGUUGAGUAUGAUAGAUGUUAGUAUGUCAGAGUGCAGGCUGAAGAUGAGAUGCAGGAGAGAUGUGACAGGGGUUAGUAACGUUAAUGUUCACUACAGCUUGCAGCUGAGGUAGUAGUGUGACGAUACAAGGCAGCUUUUAACCCUUAAUCAUGUUCAGUAUGUAUGUUAAACAGUCAGGAAUGAUAUUAUUACACUCAAUCACUGGUUAAUGAAUGCAGUAGGUAUGCUCUUCUGAAUGGAGUCAUACAGAUUAGUGUGUGUGUGUGUGUGUGUGUGUGUGUGUGUGUGUGUGUGUGUGUGUGUGUUCUAAUCACCUUUCACUUCCACUGCUUGGGUAGGUAGGACUGUACGCCAUUUGUCACGGUGGAAUUAUAGGACCAAAGAAUAUUGUGGUCCUUUGUAGCUCAGUUGGUAGAGCAUUGUGCUUGUAAUGCCAGGGUAGUGGGUUUGAUUCCCGGGACCACCCAUACGUAAAAUGUAUUCAUGCAUGACGUUAAGUUGCUUUGAAUAAAAGUUGUGAUUUUAGGUAUCACAAUAUCAACCUGUUAUUUAGCUAUUUUGCAUAAAUACACUGUAGGGAUUCUUGCAGAAUAUUGAAGGCUAAUGUCCUCAUGACUGACACGUGCACCUCCCAGCUGCUCUGAAUCCCUGUUGUUAUCCAUAACACAGUAUAUUGAUACAUUUACCCAUCCCUAGUUGCUACAGUCUGGCCUCAAUAUUUGACUCUCAAAUGGUGUGGAGGAGGCUCAUGGGAGUUUCUGAAAUACAAUUUUAUCCCGCCUGCAAAAAUAUGUUGAACCAACAUUUUAUCAAUGUCAUCUGUCAACAAUUUUAGGUUAAUUGUUUGUUUUUUGAAAAUGAAGAAAUGAAAUGUAUACAAAUUUGAACCAGGUUUCCACCGUAAAUCAACAACAGAAUUUCAAGCGUUGAUUUAUUCACAUGUUGACAAUGCAAUUAAAUAUAAACCGAAUAUGGACAUUGAUUUUACGUUCUGUCAGGUUUUUGCCCAGAGGCAUAAUGUUACUUAGAAAUGCAUUUUCCAUUAUGCAAUCAAGUACAAUGACAGUGUUACCAUAAGCAUCCGUCUGUAAAGUGCUGUGUUUAAUUUGAUUUACUCUCUCAGACUCUACUGGUCCUCUCUAGUCUCUCGGCCAUUGCUCUCGUUCUCUCCCUCCUCGUCAUUAUCUCAUUCCUUAUACACUACUGCUGCUGUCGCCGUGGUGACCGGAGCGAGGGAUCUGAGGAAGAGGAGGAGGAUGAAGAGGGCAGCACUGGCCAUGGAUACGGAGGCAAGAAAGGGCGGGGUAUCUGCUGCGUCACCUGGGUGUCGGUGGCGGCUGUCACACUGUGCUGUGUUGCCAUAGGCGUUGGUUUCUAUGGCAACAGUGAGGCUAAUGAUGGGAUAUAUCAGUUGACCUCAUCUCUUCUCACAGCCAAUUACACACUGGCUUCCAUCGAUCUGCUGGUUUCAGACACAAUCUCUGGGCUACAGCAGUCCAUCGCUGGGCCCCUGACCACUAUGGAGGAGCUGUUUACAGGCAGUAAGCCUUAUUUGGUGUCCACCCGGAACUGUAGGAGACUGUCAGAGAACGUGGUGUCCCUGCUCACCUCUCUGACAAUGGCUCGCUCCUCUGAUGGGGGUGCCUGGAACAGCAGUAACAAUAGCGGAGAUCCUCCCAUAGCAGCCCUCACCCCUGUGCCCCCCUCCAUGGCCCCCACAGUGGCACCAGUCGGAGGGGUCAUGCCAAGCCCCUUCUCCCCUGGCUGGGCAGCCAACACACUGAUGGUCAACGAGGACUACAGGUGGCUGUCCUACAUGCUGCUGUUGCUGUUGGACCUCCUAGUGUGUCUGUUCAUCCUGCUGGGGCUAGCCAAACAGGCCCGCUGGCUCCUCAUCCUGAUGACGGUGCUGGCCUGGCUGGCUCUGUUCCUGAGCUGGGGAUCCCUGGGCCUGGAGACUGCCACUGUGGUGGCUGUCAGUGACUUCUGUACAGAUCCUAACACCUUUGUGCUCAACUCCACCCACUUCAACUCUGGGACCAGCUCAGACGUGUUGGAUUAUUACCUGACCUGCAGCAGACGUAUGAACAGCCCUUUCCAGCAGCUGCUGACCCAGUCACAGAGGGCCCUUUCCAGCAUCCACACACACCUAUCCAGCCUGGACCGGAAUGCUCUCCCACAGGUCCCCAAGGCAGAGAAGUCACUCAGGGAGGUUCAGCAGAUUCACAAUGCCACAGAGGGCAACUUUCACCAGCUGGUGGCGCUACUCCACUGUCGAGGUCUCAACAAGGAUUAUAUUGACUCUUUGAAAGGCCUGUGCUCUGACGGGAUGGAGGGAUUGCUCUACCUCUCCCUCUACUCUUUCCUUUCGGCUCUGGCCUUCACUGCCAUCCUCUGUUCCCUGCCCGGCGCCUGGAGAAGCUUCCCCAGUGAUUCCGAGGAGUAUGAAGAUUCGGACAGCGAGAGCGAGGACCCCUUCACUUCCCAUCAGGCACGUAGACAGCCGGCCGCGGGGUCUCAGCGAGGGGCCUUGCCCCCCUUCUAUAAUUACCAGGGAGCCGGGUGGACUCCUCCCUUUUCUAGUGCGCCACCCCUCCCGACUCCAAACGUUUCCUCCAAUGGCAACCCUGGCUAUGAGAGCCUACCCCUGACUGACAGGCAGUCCCCACCCCCCUCUCAUUACCAUCCCAGUCCUAACUUUUACAACAGUCCCUGGUGCUUGUGGUAGAAGUUGCCACCAUCCACCUCUGAUCUGGGAUCAGAUUACCUGACACCCAUUCCUAACCUUAACCAUUUGGAGGUAAAGACCCUGGAUCAGUGGUUGUGGAUAACUUCUACCUCCUCUACCCCUGUUGUUAGGGGAAUAAUGUGACCAUUACUCUCCCAGCAUGCUGACUGGUUACGGGGGUAGUCAAACACACCCCAACUCCGCCCAUUCAAGGAACCUGUAUUCACGCUAAUUAUUUUAUGUUUAAAAAAAUUACAAUUUUUUUUCUGUUUUUUUAUGAAUGGACACUUUACUGAGAUGAAGAAAAAAUAACUAAUCCCCCAAAAUUGAUCUUUAGAUGUAAAUUAAAGGUGCGUAACAUCAGUACCAAGGUUGAAUGGCCUGCUGUAGAACCUCACAGUAAACUAAUGUCAGAUAGAUACAGUAGGUAGCAUGAUUAUGAAGAGGUCUGAACCAGGUUCACUCGGUCAAAGUCACCCUUUUUCAAUCCCCCUUGUCUGUCCAGUGUCAACAGUUGCGAGGUGAGCCAUAAUGGUAUUGACGUUAUGACAUUGUAGUUCUGUUUUUUAAAUGUAGCACCAAUUUAUUUUCACGUUUUUAUAUCUAUAUCUUGUUGUAGAGAAACACUGACACAUAGAAACAAGACACGUUUUUGAGUGAAUGAAUAUGCAGUCUCCUCACUUGGUUGGUAUUCAACGUGCAAUUUUUAUUUUAUUUACUUUUUAUAGGUGAAAAUUCUGUAUCUCCUUUGUAUUACCUUCUGAUACUAUACAUUUCACUGUUGAUGACAUUAUCUAAAUCAGGGAUGGGCAACUCCUGUCCUUGGGGCCGGAGUGGUGAAUAAACUAAUUGCAUUCUAAACAGAAGAUCAUGAUUCGGUGAUUAUUGGAGUCAGCUGCAGAAGGGACACCAAGUCCCCAAGGACUGGAGUUGCCCAUCCCCUCAUGAAACUUUGCUCUUAAAAAGAACAUUCAAGAGAGGGCUAUAGUACAAACCUCUCUGUAGGCUGAAUGGAGAACUACAACUCCCAUCCAACCUCGGGACCGUUAGAGAACUACAAAUCCCAUGCAAUGACAGCAGGCACAAAGCAAUAAAACUCCUGCCACUGGUGCAGCAGUAGCCCUACCAUAAAUAGCAAUAUUAACUAUAUAGCAGUGGGUUUCUGGGGUCUCUAUAGGAUGUUAUGUACAUAUGUGAUGUCAGAUUUCAUUGAACACCCUCCUUGCCUACUGACCUUGUUAACCCUUGAAUUGCGUUUGUAUGGUAUAAUCAAUGCUCCUUUUGAAUGGCAUCCUUUUUCACUCCAGAGUCUAAUAUAAAUAAAAUAAUAACAAUUAAUAAAGUUUGGCCUUAUUUAAAUCA